GUGAGGAAUAUUGGUCAAUGGACGAGAGUCUGAACCAGCCAAGUCGCGUGAAGGAAGACGGUUCUAUGAAUUGUAAACUUCUUUUGUGCAGGAAUAAAGUGGGUUACGUGUAACCUUUUGUAUGUACUGUACGAAUAAGGAUCGGCUAACUCCGUGCCAGCAGCCGCGGUAAUACGGAGGAUCCGAGCGUGAUCCGGAUUUAUUGGGUUUAAAGGGUGCGUAGGUGGAUUGAUAAGUCAGCGGUGAAAGUUUGCAGCUUAACUGUAAAAUUGCCGUUGAAACUGUCGGUCUUGAGUGCAAAUGAGGUAGGCGGAAUGUGUUGUGUAGCGGUGAAAUGCUUAGAUAUAACACAGAACUCCGAUUGCGAAGGCAGCUUACUGGGAUGCAACUGACACUGAUGCACGAAAGCGUGGGUAUCAAACAGGAUUAGAAACCCCAGUAGUCC
rnacentral:rRNA from 1 species